AAGUCGUAACAAGGUUUCCGUAGGUGAACCUGCGGAAGGAUCAUUAGCGAAGUUCGGAAUGCAUGUUCGGCGUUGAUGCUGCCCAGCAAUGGGAUGUGCUCGCUCGGAUGUGUGUCCCUUCUCUAUCCACCCCACUGUGAACCAAGUGUGUGAGCCGAAGAGAAAUCGGACGCUCGCAUGCAAACCUUUAACAUACCCCAAUUAAGUAUCAGAAUGUACCUUGCGUUAACUCGCACAAAUAUAACUUUCAACAACGGAUCUCUUGGCUCUC
rnacentral:misc_RNA from 1 species